UUAAAUUGUAGCUAAAGUUAAAGCGCUUCAGUUACGUUGAAGAGAUCACCUGAAUUGGUGCCGUUUAAA
rnacentral:tRNA from 1 species